rnacentral:rRNA from 1 species
AGUGAACGCUGGCGGUAGGCCUAACACAUGCAAGUCGAACGGCAGCACAGUAAGAGCUUGCUCUUACGGGUGGCGAGUGGCGGACGGGUGAGGAAUACAUCGGAAUCUACUUUUUCGUGGGGGAUAACGUAGGGAAACUUACGCUAAUACCGCAUACGACCUACGGGUGAAAGCAGGGGAUCUUCGGACCUUGCGCGAUUGAAUGAGCCGAUGUCGGAUUAGCUAGGUGGCGGGGUAAAGGCCCACCAAGGCGACGAUCCGUAGCUGGUCUGAGAGGAUGAUCAGCCACACUGGAACUGAGACACGGUCCAGACUCCUACGGGAGGCAGCAGUGGGGAAUAUUGGACAAAGGGCGCAAGCCUGAUCCAGCCAUACCGCGUGGGUGAAGAAGGCCUUCGGGUUGUAAAGCCCUUUUGUUGUGAAAGAAAAGCAGCAGGUUAAUACCCCGCUGUUCUGACGGUACCCAAAGAAUAAGCACCGGCUAACUUCGUG